AUUGAACGCUGGCGGCAGGCCUAACACAUGCAAGUCGAACGAGUGGCGGACGGGUGAGUAAUGUCUGGGAAACUGCCCGAUGGAGGGGGAUAACUACUGGAAACGGUAGCUAAUACCGCAUACCAUCGGAUGUGCCCAGAUGGGAUUAGCUAGUCGGUGGGGUAACGGCUCACCUAGGCGACGAUCCCUAGCUGGUCUGAGAGGGUGACCGGCCACACUGGAACUGAGACACGGUCCAGACUCCUACGGGAGGCAGCAGUGGGGAAUAUUGGACAAUGGGCGCAAGCCUGACGCAGCCAUGCCGCGUGUGUGAAGAAGGCCUUCGGGUUGUAAAGUACUUUCAUCGAGGAGGCGGUACUCACAGAAGAAGCACCGGCUAACUCCGUGCCAGCAGCCGCGGUAAUAC
rnacentral:rRNA from 1 species